ACGUAAUAGAUACCCGGGUAGUCCACGCCGUAAACGAUGGGUACUAGGUUUUAUGGGAAUUGACCCCUGUGGAACCGGAGCUAAACGCAAAUAAAGUACCCCGCCUGGGAAGUACGGUCGCAAGACUAAAACUCAAAGGAAUUGACGGGGGCCCGCACAAGCGGUGGAUCAUGUGGUUUAAUUCGAAGCAACGCGCAAAACCUUACCUGGGUUUGACAUCCUCUGACCGCUGUAGAAAUACAGUUUUGUAGCAAUACAACAGAGAGACAGGUGCUGCAUGGCUGUCGUCAGCUCGUGUGGUGACAUGUUGGGUUAAGUCCCGCAACGAGCGCAACCCUUGUCUUUAGUUGCCAGCAUUAAGUUGGGCACUCUAGAGAGACUGCCGUGGUUAACACGGAGGAAGGUGGGGAUGACGUCAAGUCCUCAUGGCCUUUAUAUCCAGGGCGACACACGUGAUACAAUGGAUGACACAAAGGGAAGCGAACCCGCGAGGGGGAGCUAAUCUCAAAAAGUCAUUCUCAGUUCGGAUUGGAGUCUGCAACUCGACUCC
rnacentral:rRNA from 1 species